UGUGUUCUGCUUUCCCAAGGGAUAGGGGAGUGGCUGACUGGCUGUGUAGGUAUUUGCCUACACAACCCAUUUUGCAGACAACCCACCAUAAGACUUUUUGUUGCAUAACACAGGGCUUAAGAAGUUCAAGAUAACAUCAGAUUUGUUUGUAGUCUGAAUUUAUAGCUGUUAUAACUGUUAUUUUGCAGGGUCUCAUGCUUGCCAUGAGGCUCGUUUAUUGUAUAUUAGAGUCUGUGGCUCGUUGAUGACUGUUUUUGCUGUUUCAGGUACUACUUAUUGUCUUAGUUUGUUAUGGUUGGCAACAUUUUGAUUAACAAUAUGUGCCUAAGUGCCUGGAUUGGCAUAUGACCCUAGCACUGCUGCCAUUCCUGUACUGCUGUACCAGACAUGCACAAAGUCAGCUAUGAAGAGCAGAAACACUCCUGAAAGGACUAUGGCCCAUGAGUAAGCCCGUACUGGAGCAGGCACACCCUCAAAGGAACCACAACCCAUGGAGGCUUCAUGCUGGCACAAAUGCAGUGUGUGGAUGGUGUUGCAAUAGUAACUCUAUUACCUGGAAAAGGGAAAAGGGGUGGAAAUUGUAGUGGAUAUAAAUUUAACCUGUUUUAACCCAUGGUUUGCGUUGGAUGUUGUAGGAAGUGCUGUAGCAGGAAAACCCAAGCAAAUGAAGGACCAACCUCACAAGAAGCUGAACAAGUGAACUGAUGACUCAGUUUGAGCUGUCUUUGCUUCUCAACAACACAAAAAGCCAUAGAUUCUAUUCUGAUCUUCUGUAA